AAAAAAGCAGGGUUCUAUUGCAUUUUCCAGUAGCUCUCUCCGAAUCUCUGGGGAAAUUAUGUGCAUUGUUAGUGGGUGAACCACUAUUGAUUAUCUCAACGGUAAACAGCUUGGUAAAUGAUGAUAGAUAA